UACGUAGGGACCGAGCGUUGUCCGGAUUCAUUGGGCGUAAAGAGCUCGUAGGCGGCUGUUCAAGUCGAACGUGAAAACUCGGAGCUCAACUCCGAGCCUGCGUUCGAUACUGGACGGCUAGAGUCUGGUAGGGGGAUCUGGAAUUCCUGGUGUAGCGGUGGAAUGCGCAGAUAUCAGGAGGAACACCGGUGGCGAAGGCGGGAUCCUGGGCCAGUACUGACGCUGAGACGCGAAAGCGUGGGGAGCGAACAGG
rnacentral:rRNA from 1 species